rnacentral:rRNA from 1 species
AUCGCCUACGGGACGCAGCAGUGAGGAAUAUUGGUCAAUGGGCGCGAGCCUGAACCAGCCAAGUCGCGUGAGGGAAGACGGUCCUAUGGAUUGUAAACCUCUUUUGUCGGGGAGCAAAAGACGCCACGUGUGGCGUUCCGAGAGUACCCGAAGAAAAAGCAUUGGCUAACUCCGUGCCAGCAGCCGCGGUAAUACGGAGGAUGCGAGCGUUAUCCGGAUUUAUUGAGUUUAAAGGGUGCGCAGGCGGAAGAUCAAGUCAGCGGUAAAAUUGAGAGGCUCAACCUAUUCGAGCCGUUGAAACUGGG